AAUUCGGAAAACACAACAAAUAUUACAUUUUUAGUCACACUGCGCACGAGAGAACGGUUACUUUUUCAUAAUGAAGAUAUUUCUACCGACUUUAGUGCACAUAUCUUUAGUUUUUGUUGCAUUUUAUCUGGGAGGGACUUCAAUGGGUGAUGAUCCCCGGGUUGGGCUUGAUUAUUUCGUCUUUUGAUCUUAAUCAUGUCACACGUAUUACCUAAAAUGUUCUUCAUGCUCAAUAAAUGAAUAAAAAUCUAAA